GCCUUCGUAGUAUAGUAGUCAACACGCUCGACUCAUAUUCGAGAGGCCCGUGGUUCGAGUCCCGGCGAAGGCG
rnacentral:tRNA from 1 species